CAGUACCACGGUAAUACAGAGGGUGCAAGCGUUAAUCGGAAUUACUGGGCGUAAAGCGCGCGUAGGUGGUUUGUUAAGUUGGAUGUGAAAGCCCCGGGCUCAACCUGGGAACUGCAUCCAAAACUGGCAAGCUAGAGUACGGUAGAGGGUGGUGGAAUUUCCUGUGUAGCGGUGAAAUGCGUAGAUAUAGGAAGGAACACCAGUGGCGAAGGCGACCACCUGGACUGAUACUGACACUGAGGUGCGAAAGCGUGGGGAGCAAACAGGAUUAGAUACCCCAGUAGUCCCUGUCUCUUAUACA
rnacentral:rRNA from 1 species